AGAGUUUGAUCCUGGCUCAGGAUGAACGUUGGUAGUAUGCCUAACACAUGCAAGUCGAGCGAAAAGUGAUAGCAAUAUUACUUUUAGCGGCGAACGGGUGAGUAAUGCUUAUCUUACCUGCCAUUUAAUGGGGGAUAAAAUUCCGCAUAUUAUGAGUAAUCAUGAAAGGACUUUCGGGUUCAUUAAAUGAUGGGGAUAAGUCGUAUUAGUUAGUUGGUGGGGUAAUGGCCUACCAAGACAAUGAUGCGUAGCCAGUCUGAGAGGAUGAAUGGCCACAAAGGAACUGAGACACGGUCCUUACUCCUAUUUAGGAGGCAGCAGUGAGGAAUAUUCCGCAAUGGGGGAAACCCUGACGGAGCAAUACUACGUGAAGGAGGAAGGUCUACGGAUUGUAAACUUCUUUACUUAAAUGUACUAGCCGUAAGGUUUUGCAUUUGAGCAAAAAGCGACGACUAACUAUGUGCCAGCAGUCGCGGUAAGACAUAGGUCGCAAACGUUAUCCGGAAUUAUUGGGCGUAAAGGAUGCGUAGAUUGUUCAGUAAGUUACUGGUGGGAAAUCGAGGCCCAACCUCGUGGAAGUCAGUAAUACUGCUGAACUUGAGUACAGGAGAGGUUAACGGAAUGGUUCGUGUAGGGGUAAAAUCCGCAGAUAUGAACUGGAACAUCAAUAUGGCGAAGGCAGUUAACUAUUCUGUUACUGACGUUGAGGCAUGAAAGCGUGGGGAGCAAAACGGAUUAGAUACCCUAGUAGUCC
rnacentral:rRNA from 1 species